UUCAGCGCCCAUCCAAAAUCUACCCGCGACCCACCAGUGGGUCGCGACCCACACUUUGGGAAAUACUGAUCUAUAAUAAUAUUAUUA